rnacentral:rRNA from 1 species
UACGAAGGGGGCUAGCGUUGCUCGGAAUCACUGGGCGUAAAGCGCACGUAGGCGGACUCUUAAGUCGGUGGUGAAAUCCUGGAGCUCAACUCCAGAACUGCCUUCGAUACUGAGAGUCUCGAGUCCGAGAGAGGUGAGUGGAACUGCGAGUGUAGAGGUGAAAUUCGUAGAUAUUCGCAAGAACACCAGUGGCGAAGGCGGCUCACUGGCUCGGUACUGACGCUGAGGUGCGAAAGCGUGGGGAGCAAACAGGGAUUAAGAUCACC